GAAGAAGAAGAAGAAGAAGAAGAAGAGGAAGAAGAAGAAGAAGAAGAGGAAGGAGGAAGAAGAAGAAAAAGGAAGAGCACAACUACAAUUUUGGGGCUGCCUACACCUAAGAUCUCGGACCGGAGAUAAAGAGCAUCAAUGGAUUUUGGCUCAUGGUAGCUCAUUACAAAAAGGGAAAGGAUUAUCUCACUUAUUUGUGCAUAUCAUGCCAGUCCAACUAGAGGGGAUUCAAAUCUUCUGACCCUAAGCGGAUGGAGAUGCACACAUACAAUGAGAUCAAAAGUGAGUUGAACACCCGGUGACAUACUCGAAACCCGUUUUCUUCAAGUACAACCGAGAUAUAGUGGUGCCAUUGGGUUGUGACUCAACUUCCUUUGGACCAGAGUAUGGAGUAGGUGACUAGUGGAUGCCAAAAGCCGAGGAGCAUGAUCUGGAUUGUGCCUAUAACAACUGUGCAUACGCGGCACCCUGAGUUGCAUAGUUACUUUUUGCUAUUUUGAUGCAAAAUUGUGAAUGGUAUUCUUUUUGGGCUUAUAAAUUUUAAGUAGUGGACAUUUGUAAAGGAAUGACUUGGUUAUGGUAUAUACUAUCACUAAAUGGU